rnacentral:tRNA from 1 species
GUCCUCGCGGGCCAGCGGAGUGGCCGCCACGCUCUCAACGUGGAGAACGCGGGUUCGAAUCCCGCCGAGGAUG